GGAUAACUUACCCUUAGGACUGGGAUAACUCUGGGAAACUGGGGAUAAUACUGGAUAUUAGGCUAUGCCUGGAAUGGUUUGCCUUUGAAAUGUUUUUUCGCCUAAGGAUAGGUCUGCGGCUGAUUAGGUCGUUGGUGGGGUAAUGGCCCACCAAGCCGAUGAUCGGUACGGGUUGUGAGAGCAAGGGCCCGGAGAUGGAACCUGAGACAAGGUUCCAGACCCUACGGGGUGCAGCAGGCGCGAAACCUCCGCAAUGUACGAAAGUGCGACGGGGGGAUCCCAAGUGUUAUGCUUUUUUGUAUGACUUUUCAUUAGUGUAAAAAGCUUUUAGAAUAAGAGCUGGGCAAGACCGGUGCCAGCCGCCGCGGUAACACCGGCAGCUCGAGUGGUAGCUGUUUUUAUUGGGCCUAAAGCGUUCGUAGCCGGUUUGAUAAGUCUUUGGUGAAAGCUUGUAGCUUAACUAUAAGAAUUGCUGGAGAUACUAUUAGACUUGAAGUCGGGAGAGGUUAGAGGUACUACCGGGGUAGGGGUGAAAUCCUAUAAUCCUGGGAGGACCACCUGUGGCGAAGGCGUCUAACUGGAACGAUCUUGACGGUGAGUAACGAAAGCCAGGGGCGCGAACCGGAUUAGAUACCCGGGUAGUCCUGGCCGUAAACGAUGUGGACUUGGUGUUGGAAUGGCUUUGAGUUGUUCCGGUGC
rnacentral:rRNA from 1 species